UGAGCCGAAGGCAGUCGCUUAACCGACUGAGACCCAGGUGCCCCUGAAACCUAGUUUUUGAGAGUCAAUGUAAUGAGGUACUUCUUAGGUAUGGGAAAUCCUUCAAUUUCUAUCCUGUCUAUAUAAGAUAAACAAGCUCUUGUUCCUUAUUAUACUGUGUUGGUUAAGGGUGCUCAGUUCUGGAGCCUGAAUUCAGAACAUAUUUUCACCACUUACUAGCUGUGCAAAUCUGGGGAAGUUGCUUAGCUCUUCUGGGACAGUUUUCUGAUCUGUGAUGUUAGGAGAAGUAAAUGAUGUAUGAUGCAUAGUACGAGACACCCAUAGCCUGAUAAAUAUUUGACGACAGUCACGGUAUAGCAGCUCGAGCCUUGAGAAAGCCUCAAGUCCUACCUGCUAAAAGGAAGAUUCUUUGUGAAUAGAAAUAAUAGGAACUUCAAGGAGUUAGAGACAGAUUCUCAUCGACGUGUGGCUUUUUAAGUCGUGAUAAUGAAAACAGCAUUGAAAAGGACUGCUUUCCAGAGAGAAGUAGGCAGCUAUCCAAAGUAUUUUGAGUCAGAAAUAAAUAUUGGUAGAUUUCUCUCUUUAAAGAGAUUUUUAGAAUUAUCUCCAAUAGAAUGAAGAGUUUACAGCCUUAAAAAAUAAAAAUUUUAAAAGGCCCUAAAUAUGAGAUUUUACUUUGAAGUUAUUUUUUCUUUAACAAACAUACCAUUCAUUCAACAAAUAUUUAUUAAGCAACCACUAUAUGCCAAGCAUUAUGUUAGGAGCUAGGGAGAAAAAUGAAAUAGGCAUGGUGCCUGUUCUAAAUGAGUUUAAAGAAUCUAAAUAUUCAGAUAAGCAAUGCCCUUCAAAAUAGUUACCCUGGCUUCCUGUACAUUUAUCCCAAUAUUAUUGCUCUCAACACCUUCAAACAACUCUUGGGCAAUACCUUCAGAGUCAAUGCCUGAGCUACACAUAAACAGCACUGGCCUCUUCACUUUUGGGAAGGACUAAUAGUGGAUAUUAAAAUACUUCAAAUCUCCUUUAUUGUUUGGUAAAUGCCACAGCUCAGAAACCCCCAUAUGCCCACCUAUCCCCAAUGCUACAGUUUGUCUUCUAGGACUCUUUAGAACACCUCACAACCCAGCAACUAAAAAAUUAAUACCUGGAUCUUGGUCAGUGUUCUCCAGGACCUUGCUCCAGUGACAUCUGUUUUGAUUGGUCUCUGUCCUCUCAUACCUUUUGUUGAGUACUUUGAGUAUCACCCCUCACAUGGAGUGUCAUCCUGCAUUUUCCUCAAUCCUUCUUUCAUAUCUACUUCAUUCUACCUGGUACAUCCAAGGCCCCAAUCCUAUUCUAGAUUACUUUUAGCUAUCGAUGAAGAUCAAAUCCAACUCAAAAGGACAAAAUUUGGCUGCCUAUGAAGACAUAUGUUUAAAAUAAAAAGGAACAGACUAAAGACAAGUCCAAAAGAAAGGUCCUGAUAUUGUUCUGGGCAAAGGUAAGUGUCAUUCAAGUUAGCCUGUAGGUGACUACUCAGAGGGGAUGACAUCCUGUCUUAUGUAAUUUCUGGUGUUUUUAUGAACAAAAACAAUAAUAUCAGGCCAAUUACUUUAUAGUCACAUCUUGCAUAUUAGCUGAAUGUCUAAUUUUAGAAGAGUUGUAUUUUAAAGUCAUAAACCUUUAGUUAGGAGCAUUUUUAAAACUUAGUAUAUUUUUUCCAGCUAAUGUUAGCAUAUAACAUGUUAGCAAAAGGUUAGCAUAUAAGGAGUCUGAUGGUCAUGUUUAUCUCAGUAGCAUUUGGAAUUCCUAAUACCUAGAUAUAGUAAAAUAACAGUGAAUAUCUUUUCCAGUAUAAGAUUCAGAAUUAUUAAAAAUUGUAAAGUAUGGCACAGUUAUAGAGGAAAUAGAAGUUUUUGUUGUGGGGAAUGUGAAUUCAGAAACAUAUGUUGUUAUAAAAUAUGCUUAUUUUUUAAUAGGAUUUGUAUGAUGGAAAACUAAAUUUAUGUUAUUUGUUACAGGACACUCAAAAAGCAAAAACACAAAUCAGCAAAAAUAAAAAAGACGGAAAGGACUUUCUGAAGACAAAAUUAUUAUUGGUUGGUGGGACACAAUUUUGAAAGGAAUGAAUAUCCGAUACUUGUGCUAAAGACAGAUUUGACUUUGGGUCCCAUAGCCUAGAAAAUUGAUAAAUCAUACUUAAUUAACUUUUUUACUGGUUCAGCUGCAAAAUUAUUUGUAUGAAAAUCAGUAAAUGUUUUUCCAUAAUGAUAGUGGAUCUUGUAGAUAAUAUUACUUCAUCCUAUAACAUUAACCACUGAGCUGAAGUUUAUGUGUUGAAUGAAUGAAUGUAUAGGUGAUCAGGGGUAGGAAUGACAUUUCCUUUGGAUCAUUUCUUAGGACUUCAUUUCUUUAAAGAUAAUAAUUUUUCUUUUUCUUGCAAAAAAUAGAAAAUCUGAUAGAAAAUUUUCAGAAAUGAGUUGAGUAAAAAUUAUUACACACCAUUUGUAAAUAAGCGUUAGCAUUUUUCUGUAUCUUGACACCCAUUUUUUAUAUAUGUGUAUUGUAAGUAUAUGUAUAUGUGUGUUUGAUUUACAAAAAAUAAUCAUGUACAACUUUUUCUUUUAUAAAACAUUGUGAUAUAUACCUAUGUAUGCCACUAAACAGUGUUCUAUAGCGUUGUUGAGUGACUGCAUAAUAUUCUACUCUAAAUAUACAUCAUAAUUUAUUUCACCAAUCUUCUGUCAUUGAGCAUUUAGGUUGCUUUUAAUCUUUUUGCCAUUGUGUUGUAGAGACAUUUGGCUCUUCCAAGAAUUUUGAAUCAUUCUAGUGCUGUUAUUCCCUUGGACAGUUAAGCCUAUGGAUCCUUUCUCAGAAUAAGAUUUAGGUGCUGACCACUAAGGCACUGGAUGUAUGAACAGAGGAGAUUACCAGGAGGUUAUGUAAAAAAAGAACCUGGUGCAGCAUGCCAAUCUUUAUUCUAGGAUUUACAGCAUUAUGUAGAAUAAAAGUUUGAAAAAUGUCUAAAAAGAAGUGAUUUUUUACUUCUCCACAAUUAAUAUGUUUGCUUGAAAGAAAAUCCAUGGGAAUCUGUAGAUAAGGACAUUUGGAAAAUCCAAAAAUAUCCAUAGUUGUGUAAGCAUUUCUCAAAGAGGGACUGAGACCCAGUGCUUCUGUGGGAGUUCAUUUAUCUGCAUCAUGUGCUGAGGUGGCCCUUAAGAGGUUCAUUUUGCAGGGAGAGAGAAGUACAGCUCUGAGAGGAGAGUUUCUGGAAUGGUGAAUCACCUCAGAAUCUUCCU